UGAUUGAGCCGCGCCAAU
rnacentral:siRNA from 1 species